rnacentral:lncRNA from 1 species
AAACUAUAAAAUCAUUCUCCGACCAAAUAUUAUAAAUACUUCCACUACUAAAAUGUCAAUGACAUAUUUACGACAUAAUACUUCAGUGGCAUUGUACUAAUAUAUAUACAAUCAAAAAACUUUCAUGGCAUGCCUCAAGCUCCUUCUUGACCGAUCUCAUUUCUUAAGAACCUUGUUGUCCCUGCUACUAAAAUACAUUGAAUUACUUAAAAAAUCAUCAUAAUGAUAUCAACAAAUAAAAAGUGCAUAUUCAGAAUUCAAAUAGCCUUGCAACUGAGAUGUUGCAUCAAUCAUGUCAAAAAGAUAUAGCUAGACCAAGAACUAGGCAAAAGGUUGAAGUCUUAACUAUUAGUGGGGGGUAAAAAUCAAGCUUCAUGGCAUAUGUAGUAUGUAUGCUAAACCCAUUGACAGAGGAAAGUGAAAACAAGAACAAACUUCCUCAAUGCAUAUGAAAAAGAACAAGCAACCAUAUAUAGUUCAAAAUAAUAUUAAAAAUUCAUGUGAUGUAACUUUUUAUUUGUAUAGUAUGUGGGAAUAAUAGAUCAUGUAAGUAAGGAAGUGCUAAUAUAAAGUAUUCUCUUAUUCCUAAACCACUAAAAGUAGCAGAUUAACACAAUAACUAAGGCAAUUUCUUUUGUUCUCCCAUUUAAGAUUCUUAUUAAUUACUUCUUCAGCUUGAGAAGAUUAUUUUAUCAUAAUGUGCUUGUUGUGUAUCUAGCUUCGUCCUGACAACAUUAGGCAAGCACUACUUGUUGUUGUUGAAUGUUAUAUUAAGAUGAACUAUCUAGAUGCGACAGAUCAGUACAUUAAGAUGACAAUUGGGAUAUUCUUUGGGUGAAAUGGGUUCAUGGAGUAUAUAUGAAAAAUAACUUGAAUAUAUGAGACCACACUCCUCCAUUAGAUUCAAGAUGGUAUUGGAAGAAGGUUAACUCUCUAAAAAAUGAUAUACAAGCUUGGUAUGCGCAAGAUGUUUACAUGCUUUUUUUAUGAAAAAUAUUCGAUUACUAAAUGUUAUAAUGCACUAUAGAAAUUUGUAAUGCACUGGCAAUGCACCUUGACCUAUUGGUGUUCCUGUGGUUGCCAUAUGAAUGUACCGAUGACAUUCUGCCAACCAUAGAGUACCCAACAAUGCCAACCAUAGUAACACCAAUAAGCUGAAGUGCAUUACCAAAUUCCAUCUUAAUCUGCACAAAUAGUGUUUCUCAUAUCAUGAAUGGCGAGACAACUAGGAAGUAUCUCAUGUUAGUUAAAAGAGUGAUGGCAUUCUUUCAAUGACGGAACAACAUAAGGUUACCAAUAUCACAAACAAUAUGACAUAUAUUACUCCUCAAAAACUAUCUUUACUCCUAACUCCACUUCUUAUUGCUAUUAAUAUAGCUCCUCGAAGCCAUAUUAAAUAAAAAUACCACCUAAAAUAAAACUAGCUCAAAAAAGUCAAACAAAUAUGCCAACAAUGAUUACAGAUUGCAUCAUCUCAUGAUGUGCAAGAGAUACUAUACAUAUCACAUUAUCUGAUGAUGUGAAAAAAUUAAUCUCGAAAGGAUAUGACUCAGUCAAACCAAGGAGGUAGUAAAGGAAAAGGGGCAAUGAAAAAACUCACACGAAAAUGCUAUACGGAUCACAUUAUCUGAUGAUGUGCAACAACAAAUCUUGUCUAUUUUAGGUUUCUCUAGAGGCAACCUUCCUAUACAAUAUCUUGGUGUUUCACUUAGUAGCAAAAGAAUAUCACCAACUGUUUUUUUUUUAAAAAUAUAUCUGUUUCUGUUUUAAAAGAAUAUCAACAAGGCAGUGUGCACCACAACUGGAAAUAAAACUAGGCAUGAAAAAUUUACUGAGAGGACAACGAGCUUUUUCCAAACGUCUUGCAUUAAUUUGUUGUCAUAGAGAUAUCUAAUUUAACAGGACUUCUUAAUUUGCUCGAAAUCAGCAUUAUCCUUAAUUAUUUUAAAGACUAAUGAAUCAUCUCUUCUUCACAUAAUCCCUGACAUAAAACAUGGUACAUUUUCGUAGCUAGCUAGAACAAGACAAACAUAACAAUAGAAUAGAGAUAUUACCCAAGUCAUUGAGAAUAGGGAGAAAAUGCAAUUACCAGACAACUCUUGGACUUGCAUUCCCUUAUAUUGUACCAAGACUCUUGCACUUCCAUUCCCCAAUGUCUUANNNNNN